UGAAAAGCUAACUCAAUAUAAUUGGGUUUAAAAUAGAAAGCAGGAUAGCUCUCAAUUCUGAUACUUUUUUGUAGGUAGAGUUGGGUAUGAUGUCCUAGGAAAGGUCUACUCACUGUGCAAGGAUUUGGAGUAUGUCAUGUUAUAUUUUCUUUUAAAACUUCAGAAUAAUCUCUAGCCACUAAGUGCUGCCCAACCUCAGUUGGAAGGAGUUUUCUUCAGGGCUUUAAUGCCUUGCAUUUUACACCAACUAGUUUCCUGGGCCUCCACUAAAGUGAUACCCUACCCUGGCAUGAAAGUGACCCUGGAUUCUCAAAGUCUCUGCAAGGGCCACACAACCCAUGAUAAGUCGGGAACAGCUCAGGAAAGACUUUGAAUUAAGAAUCUUGCCAUGCUUAAUUCAUGGUCCAUGGACAGCUGCAGAAUAACUCUUUUUUUUUCUUUUUCAGCAACCUAAUCCAUUAAGACCCUAAAGAGACUGUAAUCUGUGUUUGGCAGAUGUAAUUACCGUGCAGACCAGAUUGAAGAUCCCUGAAUUACUGAAGUAUGAGGUGGUUAAUAGCAUCAUCACCAACAACAACAUUUAUUCUACCACUGGCCCAGAGACUCCAUUAUGAAGGCGGACACUUUUUUUUUCCCUUCCGUGGUUGGAGGAGAGGAGCGGAGAUGAGUAGAGAAAGGGAGGAGAGGAGGAAUGAAGUCCAAAGUUGCCAUAAUUGUAUUUGCCUUUCCCUUUUCUCAAUAAAGAUCAAUCGUGUAAACUGAUUGCUUAAACAAUAGGAUCAGCAGUCAGUUAUUAUAAAUGCAGGAGAAUUUUUUCCAAACGCUAUUUGCCUGAUGUGUGCUACGAGAAUUGAAUUUUAAUGACUGAGACAACUCUCCCAUUGAAGGGACGGCAGCAAUCAAAAAGCUAGGGCUGCAUUUGGAGUCACACUAUCCCACCUCCGACCUUGAAAGCGGAAAUACCGACUUUUACUCUUGGACAUUUUCCCCCCUGCUUUUUCUCUCUUCGCUCCUCCUUUGCCUUUAACAUUAAAAAAAAAAUCGAUUCUCCAUUAUGAAAAUUUACUGACCCAAAGAGGGAGAAUUUUGUGGGAGUUUUGUACCUAUCUGUUGCUUUGGGCCUCUCUUCCCCCCCCCCCCAGUUCCCACCUCCUGGCUCCUGUAAGUCCCUGAGAAUAGUUCCUAGGCAGAGCUCCGCUUGAGCCUGCACACCAGACCCGCUCCCGGGCUCCACAGCUCCUUCUCCACUUACCCAGAAAUGACAGACUGCUGGCUAAGGGAUCCAGCCCGGGGCUAAGAAGAGAGGGGCUGUUGAAACACCAAAGUCAAGUCAGGUUUGGGGUGCGAUAUUUCACAGUGCCGCUGGGACGCUGAUUUAUGUUCUUGCCCUAUGAAAUAGUCCAAACUCUUUGGCUUUGGAUUAUUUUUUAAUUUUUUUAUCAAUUGUUCUUCCUCUCCAUAUCACGCUGAGAUAGCUUUAAGUAGAAGGGGGAUUUUAUUUAUCACCCAACACGUCUUAAAUGUAUGCAGACAGAAAAGAGCUCACUCUGGAUCUCUGGCUCAAUUUUGAAGCCGUCGGGGAAUCAUUUGACUAACUUGCUGGGAUCUUUCACAUUCGAAACAGAAACGCAGCUCAUGGUUCUGCUGUAAAUCAGACGACUGUCUUCUACUAUGAAAAAGAAAUAUCUUACACAAAGGGGGAGAAAAGAAAGAAAACAGAGAGGGAAAAGGCAGUGUGGCCAAAGCAAAAUGUCCUUCAGAAACGAAGAUUAAAUUUUAAUUCUAGAAUAAAAAACUGUUGGAGUGUAGGAGGUCUCCA
ensembl:lncRNA